UAUUUCCGGUAGCCAUCUUACUUUAAUUGCGUCGGGUGACUUGAGAUUAGUGCGCUCGUUUUUUUUUAAAUAAUAACGUAACAAUUAAUAGACAUAAUUUCUUGGAAGUGAUAUAAAUCAGUGAUCAUGGUGCCGCAAACGAAGGUGUUCGUCGGCAGCCUGCCGCAGGGCUCCAAACCGGAGGACCUAAGAAAGCUGUUUGAGCGUUUCGGCGUCGUCACAGAGUGUGAUAUAAUGAACCGGUGCGGGUUCGUGCAUAUGCAGACAGAGGAACAAGCGGCAGCGGCAAUUCGCGCGCUUCAUAACUCGACAUUUAACGGCGGCGUCAUAUCCGUGGAGCGCGGACGCAUCAAAGAACGCGGGCAGCGUGGGGGCGGUCGCGGUGGACGAGGUUCCAUGCGCGGUGGCAUGGAGCGUCGCGGAGGCGGCCCCGUGCGACACGCGCCCCCGCCUCGGGAUGCACCAUACAUGAGGGACCGGCCAGGUCCGGUGCGCGGCUACGAACGCGGUCCGCCGGCGGCGCCCUAUGAUGAGCGCUAUGCGUACGGCGAGGACCGGCGUGGGUUCGCGCUGAUGGAUCGCGGCCCUAGGGACGCUUACGCACCGCCGGCGCCUGCUUACCCUGACGAACGCUACCAGAAUCACAUCUCAGUGGUGGAGGGUACGCGACGUUACGAUGAGCCUCCCUAUGACGACCGCCACUACGACGAGCGCGCACAGUAUGAACGCCCGAGACCUGCUCACCACAUACCUAACGGGGACAUGUACAGCCGACGAUCACCUGCCCCCAUGUAUUCCGGGCGUGGAGGUCCAGCUCCAGUGGCCGGAGGUUACGAGAGAGAUCACUAUGUACCACAAUACAUGCAACCUCCAUUGGGACGCGGGGGCGGAGCGCCACGGGGCCGCGACAUGUCCGGGGGCGUCGGCCCGCGCCGGUACUAGCCGCCACUGACCACGAACUUCAGGACCACACGUCUAUAGUCUAUAAGUUAAUUAGAAUUAUGUCAAUCGUUUUUUAAUUAAAUAAAUGAGAACAAUCAAGACGAAUCGCCUUCAUUUUGUAACAAACCUUAUGUUGUUGACGUAAGACGCAGAUUAGGUUAAAUCAAUUAUAUGAUGUUGACGUUCUUCCCUAGAAAAAAUGUAAAAAUAUACUUGUUUCAAAAUGUAAUUGUCUAUCUGUGGAAUUAAAAUCGUUAAUGAAUCGAAAGUUUUCACUUAUAUAUACACAUCCCCGACAAUAAUCUGCAUGUUUUGUUAGUUGCCCCGUUCAGCUUCCUCUUCGUUGCUUUACAACGGGUGUUUUUUAAGCCCGAUAGAACUUGAGAGACUAUAUAUUAAUCUGAAAGUAUGUAGAGAAUUGUUUUAUUAGUGCAAACGAUACCGUGGCGUUAAAUUUGAAUAUGAUUUCGGGCCAUACGCCACCGGCUAUUCUUGACGAUGCGUAUCUAUUUAGACGUCCAAUUGCGAUUCACUAUUUCCAACACUGCCGACCGGUCGUCCCAUAUAACAUAUUAGCAAUUUAGCGUCCAAGCCGUUAAGGACAAAAUAUUGACUUGAAAUAUAACCUAACCCCACAAGAUAAGCAGUGGAUUCAAAUUGCACGACCUCGGAAGAUCAUAACCCAUAAAUUUAUUAUUACGUGUCUGCGUAAAGCUUUCUUGUUUAAACAAUCACAAGUCCGCAUCAAUGUCGUUCUAAUAAAACAAACCCAGUGACGCGAAAUCUGGCCUAGUUAUUUAGAAAGAAGGACUAAUGAUAUUACGCACUAUGUAAUCCGCUCCUAAUUGAUAUUUCUGGGCUUAACGAGAAUCUGCGGUCUCUUGUGGAUUGGGCGAGCUCUUAAGCCCAAAAUUGACUCGAGUUUUUGGAUAUAAUAAAAACGGGUCAGUUUCAAAUUGUUCUAAAAAUCGUUUCGCUCUGGUUUCGGUACCAGCCUGGGGAUAUUUACGCUUAGAAAGACAGAUUGCGUAAAAUUUACCACGUAUUAGUCUGAGAACGAUUAUGAUACAUUUUGUUCAUCGUUUACGCUUUUGUUUAUGUAUUAUCUUAAUUACGUACAUUAAUUUUGCGGUUUAUUUAAAUUAUUGCAUCAUUAUAAAGCGGUGUUGUUGUAAUCUAUGUACAGCUCAAGGUAUUGCUUGCUCGGUAAAUGGACGGAUUACAUGCGCCUUUUAAAAUUACCAAUCGUCAAGUAGCGCGAAUAAUCGUUUGAUCUUAAACUCAAUUUAGAUUAUAUAGAGUAGCAUCGCUCAAACGUCAGCAUAUUCAGCAUGGUUUGUCGGAGUAUGUCGAUAGUGACCGGUCUCUCUGAGGACAGUUAUGACACGUUUUACGGUUAACGCAUUUAAGUUCUAUCUCAGCAAAAAAAACACCCAUUGCUUGGUUGUGGUAAUAUUACAUUAAACUGAUUACAGUGACUAUUCGUAUAGUUAUAUAAGGGAUGCGUUCAAAUAAUACUUUUCACCUAUAAAAUAAACUAAUCUUAAAUUCUAUCUUUCGAUAUUAAAACGACUGUACCCACAAGAUCGCUUCAAAUAUUUCUAUAAGCCGUUUGGUAUAAAUAUAUUACAAGGGCAUACGUUGAUUACCUACCAACUUUAGAACAGAGGACGCAUCCCAGAUUUCUGCUUAUGAAACAGAUUACAGAGCACUUGAUCAUUUAGAACGAUACGUUUACGAGAUUUGGACGGUGUCAUGCGGAAGUUACUAUGGAAUUAGAGCCUUUAUCGCAAUGAAACAACACAAUACACGACAAACAUUCACAUUAACAUUCUCGUCAAGGAUAUUGCAAGGCGGCCGUUGAUAAAUCGGUUUAAAUACAGUUUUAGUUCGUGAAAAAUCAAAGGACGUUAGCGGAAUCGAAUACUAUAGUAAUUUACGGAUAAUUUUGGGUCUUGGGCGAUAUACAGUGACACGUCCGGUCCUUUGGAGUGUCAGCGUGGAAGUCUUAUUGUUUACCCCAGUGUCUAAUCCUCGUUGGGAUAUGAGGACACCAAUUGUCAUAUAUAUAUUGUUACAAAACAGACCCGUUGCUUAUGACGUUAUCCACGCAUGGAACAUAUCGAUAGAAAUGACGGUACGGCACUACGCGUUGAUGUCUGAACUCAUAAACAAUUCAACGUAAAAACGGGCGAAUUUAUACAAAAAAAAAACGGGCACGCUAAACCGCAUAGUUUCUAUAAGCGUUUUGUGUUGUAACGAUAAAGGCUCGUGGUGCGUGUUCUACGAUCGUUUCGGAAUGCUCUGUAAUCUAAUUUGACUAACGGCGUUGAGCGUCGCCUGUGCGUCCCAGAGUCCUUUCAGAUAGUUAGUGGCGGAUCAACGUUCGGGCGGCGAUGCGUACUCGAUGCUAACAGAAGCCUUACGCACUAAAUAGGCGGCGACAGACGAAGACACAGGAAAACGUAUACACAAAUUGCAAUGGUUGGCCGGAUGAGAUUGUGAGCGUCCAUCAGUUGUGGCAAUGGACCAGGACUCUUAUGAUUCAAUGCACCCUCGAGGCUUCAAACCUGUUACGUCGUAAUCGGUUUUUCGAGUGGACAAUAAAUUUGUUGUUAAUGUGGAA